AUACGUGGAGGGCGAGCGCUACCCGGAUUUACUGGGCGUAAAGAGCGCGUAGGCGUCCCGUCAAGUUUCCUGUUAAAUACCAAGGCUCAACCUUGGCUUAGCAGGAAAAACUGGCGGGAUAGAGGACGGGAGAGGCAACCGGAACUCGCGGUGUAGGGGUGAAAUCCGUUGAUAUCGCGAGGAACGCCGAAAGCGAAGGCAGGUUGCUAUCCCGUUCCUGACGCUGAGGCGCGAAAGCGUGGGGAGCGAACCGGAUUAGAAACCCUAGUAGUCC
rnacentral:rRNA from 1 species